AUAUUGGUCAAUGGGCGCAAGCCUGAACCAGCCAUCCCGCGUGAAGGAUGAAUGUCUUAUGGGUUGUAAACUUCUUUUGUACCUGAAGAAACUCUGGGUCGUGACCUGGACUGCCGGUAGGGUACGAAUAAGCAUCGGCUAACUCCGUGCCAGCAGCCGCGGUAAUACGGAGGAUGCAAGCGUUAUCCGGAUUUAUUGGGUUUAAAGGGUGCGCAGGUGGUUAAAUAAUUCAGUGGUGAAAGUCUGCCGCUUAACGGUAGGAUUGCCAUUGAUACUGUUUAACUUGAGUUUAGGUGAGGUAGGCGGAAUGUGUAGUGUAGCGGUGAAAUGCAUAGAUAUUACACAGAACACCGAUUGCGAAGGCAGCUUACUAAUCUACAACUGACACUGAGGCACGAAAGCGUGGGGAUCAAACAGG
rnacentral:rRNA from 1 species